AAAUGGCCGGGGCGGGAGGUCCCCACAGUGCUAACUCUCCGUGUAAUUUGUCUAGAAGUUUAGAUAGAAUACUUGUAGAUGCUCAGGCAACAUGUGAAUUAAAACUAAGUGGUCGAAAGUUAAAGGAAUACCCGAAAGGUGCUUCGAAAUACAACCUAAGUGAUACGGUCUUAGCAGGUAUGUUGGAGUUGCAGCUGUGUUGAGACUCGGAGGCGCAGGUUCGUGUAGUGUCAUGGAAAUGGACUAACUGGCUACCUCGUGUUAUCUUGGUGUUAUCGUGAGGAUCUUUUAUGAUAAUGAUGCAUUGUUGGUCACUUUUGUUUUUAUUCUUGUGAGGACGGGAUUAGGGAAGUGGUUAAAAUGAAAGGAAGGGGGGGGGGUGGUAGGAGAAGGAACGACGGAGGAAGGAAAAGGAGGAGGAGGAGGAGGAGAAGAAAAAACGAAAAGGAGAUUAACUGGAUUUCUUUAAAAAUAAGGAGGAUAAAAAUGAAUAAGAAUGAGAAGAGGAAGACCUGAAAGGGAAGGAGAAAGAAAAGAUGAGGGCGACCGAAAGAAAUAAGGUAAGAAAGUCCAAAAAGCUGAAGGGAGAAAAGAAAACGAGGAAUACAAAAGAAGGGAGGAAAGGGAGGAGGAAAUAGAUAAACGAAUGAAGAAAUGGAUAAAGCUAAAGAAGUCAGGUAGGAAAAAGGAAAAAAGUAGAAAAGAAAAAGCAGAGAACAAAUAAUAAAGAGAAGGGAAACAGAGCAAAGUAGAUGACAAAUAAUAAGGAGAAGAAGAAAAUAAUAAUAGGA
rnacentral:misc_RNA from 1 species